GGAGAGAUGGCCGAGUAGGUUGAAGGCGAUCGCCUGCUAAGCGAUUACACGGGCUUAAACCUGUGUCGCGGGUUCGAAUCCCGCUCUCUCCGCCA
rnacentral:tRNA from 1 species